GGGUGAGUAAUGCCUANCGAAUCUGCCUGGUAGUGGGGGAUAACGUUCGGAAACGGACGCUAAUACCGCAUACGUCCUACGGGAGAAAGCAGGGGACCUUCGGGCCUUGCGCUAUCAGAUGAGCCUAGGUCGGAUUANCUAGUUGGUGGGGUAAUGGCUCACCAAGGCGACGAUCCGUAACUGGUCUGAGAGGAUGAUCAGUCACACUGGAACUGAGACACGGUCCAGACUCCUACGGGAGGCAGCAGUGGGGAAUAUUGGACAAUGGGCGAAAGCCUGAUCCAGCCAUGCCGCGUGUGUGAAGAAGGUCUUCGGAUUGUAAAGCACUUUAAGUUGGGAGGAAGGGUUGUAGAUUAAUACUCUGCAAUUUUGACGUUACCGACAGAAUAAGCACCGGCUAACUCUGUGCCAGCAGCCGCGGUAAUACAGAGGGUGCAAGCGUUAAUCGGAAUUACUGGGCGUAAAGCGCGCGUAGGUGGUUAGUUAAGUUGGAUGUGAAAUCCCCGGGCUCAACCUGGGAACUGCAUUCAAAACUGACUGACUAGAGUAUGGUAGAGGGUGGUGGAAUUUCCUGUGUAGCGGUGAAAUGCGUAGAUAUAGGAAGGAACACCAGUGGCGAAGGCGACCACCUGGACUGAUACUGACACUGAGGUGCGAAAGCGUGGGGAGCAAACAGGAUUANAUACCCUGGUAGUCCACGCCGUAAACGAUG
rnacentral:rRNA from 1 species